GAUGAACGCUGGCGGCGUGCUUAACACAUGCAAGUCGAACGGAAAGGCCCUGCUUUUGUGGGGUGCUCGAGUGGCGAACGGGUGAGUAACACGUGAGUAACCUGCCCUUGACUUUGGGAUAACUUCAGGAAACUGGGGCUAAUACCGGAUAGGAGCUCCUGCUGCAUGGUGGGGGUUGGAAAGUUUCGGCGGUUGGGGAUGGACUCGCGGCUUAUCAGCUUGUUGGUGGGGUAGUGGCUUACCAAGGCUUUGACGGGUAGCCGGCCUGAGAGGGUGACCGGCCACAUUGGAACUGAGAUACGGCCCAGACUCCUACGGGAGGCAGCAGUGGGGAAUAUUGCACAAUGGGCGGAAGCCUGAUGCAGCAACGCCGCGUGCGGGAUGACGGCCUUCGGGUUGUAAACCGCUUUCGCCUGUGACGAAGCGUGAGUGACGGUAAUGGGUAAAGAAGCACCGGCUAACUACGUG
rnacentral:rRNA from 1 species